rnacentral:rRNA from 1 species
GACGAACGCUGGCGGCGUGCCUAAUACAUGCAAGUCGAACGCAGUGGGGACGGGUGAGUAACCCGUGGGUAACCUCCCAUCAGAGGGGAUAACACUUGGAAACAGGUGCUAAACCGAUACUGAUGGAUGGACCCGCGGUGUAUUAGCGUGUUGGUGGGGUAAAGGCUCACCAAGGCCACGAUGCAUAGCCGGGCGGGGAGGGGGAGUGGCCAUACGGGGACUGAGAAACCGGCCAGACGCCUUCGGGAGGCAGCAGGAGGGAAUCUUCGGCAAUGGACGAAAGUCUGACCGAGCAACGCCGGGUGAGUGAAGAAGGUUUUCGGAUCGUAAAACCUUUUUGUUAGAGAAGCGGUAUCUAACCAGAAAGCCACGGCUAACUACGUGCCAGCAGCCGCGGUAAUAC